UACAGAGGUCCCCGAGCGUUGUUCGGAUUCAUUGGGCGUAAAGGGUGCGUAGGCGGUCUGCUAAGUUUGAUGUGAAAUCCCGGGGCUCAACCCUGGAAUGGCAUUGAAUACUGGCGGACUAGAGUACCGGAGAGGAAACUGGAAUUUACGGUGUAGCAGUGAAAUGCGUAGAGAUCGUAAGGAAGACCAGUGGCGAAGGCGAGUUUCUGGACGGUAACUGACGCUGAGGCACGAAGGCCAGGGGAGCAAACGGG
rnacentral:rRNA from 1 species